UGCGGGGUGGUGCAAUGGUAACACGCCUGCCUUUGAAGCAGGAGCUCCAGGUCCGAUCCCUGGCCCCGCAG
rnacentral:tRNA from 2 species